UUCUAACUGGCAGGGACGUGGAAAUCUCUGUGGGGUCCUGCAGAACGAGGCUCAGCAGCACUUCACAUCAUAUCCAGAAGCUGGAGUCCUUAAGUGGGUGGCACAGAGCUGAAGACAGGGGGAGAAAAGCAGGACCUGAUCUGGAAGGGAGGUUGAUUCCUACCAUGAAGAGAGAAAUAGGAAUCAGGACCCUGCCUCUGUUAGUUCACAGCUGCUGCAAAAACACAAUGACAAGAUCAAUCAUUACAAAUAGGUAGGAGCUUAUUGGCUGCCGUGGGGCCAGGGUGCCUGGCCUGUGUCCUUACCAGUGGAAGGUGAUUUAGUGAGUCUGCUUCGAUGAUCUGCUGUUCACAGUGUGAGACUGAAUUUUGCACCCUAG